rnacentral:rRNA from 1 species
GAUGAACGCUGGCGGCGUGCCUAAUACAUGCAAGUCGAGCGAAUGGAUUAAGAGCUUGCUCUUAUGAAGUUAGCGGCGGACGGGUGAGUAACACGUGGGUAACCUGCCCAUAAGGCUGGGAUAACUCCGGGAAACCGGGGCUAAUACCGGAUAACAUUUUGAACCGCAUGUUUCGAAAUUGAAAGGCGGCUUCUGCUGUCACUUAUGGAUGGACUCGGGUCGCAUUAACUAGUUGGUGAGGUAACGGCUCACCAAGUCAACGAUGCGUAGCCGACCUGAGAGGGUGAUCGGCCACACUGGGACUGAGACAAGGCCCAGACUCCUACGGGAGGCAGCAGUAGGGAAUCUUCCGCAAUGGACGAAAGUCUGACGGAGCAACGCCGCGUGAGUGAUGAAGGCUUUCGGGUCGUAAAACUCUGUUGUUAGGGAAGAACAAGUGCUAGUUGAAUAAGCUGGCACCUUGACGGUACCUAACCAGAAAGCCACGGCUAACUACGUGCCAGCCGCCGCAGUAA